AAUUGGAGGGCAAGUCUGGUGCCAGCAGCCGCGGUAAUUCCAGCUCCAAUAGCGUAUAUUAAAGUUGUUGCAGUUAAAAAGCUCGUAGUUGAAUUUCGGGGUCAGUAGAUUGGUCGUGCCACUGGUAUGUACUGGUCUUACUGGCUCCUCCUUCCUGAUGAACCGUAAUGCCAUUAAUUUGGUGUUGCGGGGAGACUGGACUGUUACUUUGAAAAAAUUAGAGUGUUUAAAGCAGGCUAACGCUUGAAUACAUUAGCAUGGAAUAAUGAAAUAGGACGUUCGGUCUUAUUUUGUUGGUUUCUAAGAUUGACGUAAUGAUUAAUAGGGAUAGUUGGGGGCAUUAGUAUUCAAUUGUCAGAGGUGAAAUUCUUGGAUUUAUUGAAGACUAACUACUGCGAAAGCAUUUGCCAAGGAUGUUUUCAUUAAUCAAGAACGAAAGUUAGGGGAUCGAAGACGAUCAGAUACCGUCGUAGUCUUAACCAUAAACUAUGCCGACUAGGGAUCGGAUGAUGUUAAUUUUUUAAUGACUCAUUCGGCGCCUUACGGGAAACCAAAGUGU
rnacentral:rRNA from 1 species